rnacentral:rRNA from 1 species
GACGAAGUGGUUGAUACCAUGCUUCCAAGAAAAGCUCCUAAGCUUCAGAUAACUGGGAACCGUACCCCAAACCGACACAGGUGGUUAGGUAGAGAAUACCAAGGCGCUUGAGAGAACUCGGGUGAAGGAACUAGGCAAAAUGGCACCGUAACUUCGGGAGAAGGUGCGCCGGCGAGGGUCAAGGACUUGCUCCGUAAGCCCAUGCCGGUCGAAGAUACCAGGCCGCUGCGACUGUUUAUUAAAAACACAGCACUCUGCAAACACGAAAGUGGACGUAUAGGGUGUGACGCCUGCCCGGUGCCGGAAGGUUAAUUGAUGGGGUUAGCGCAAGCGAAGCUCUUGAUCGAAGCCCCGGUAAACGGCGGCCGUAACUAUAACGGUCCUAAGGUAGCGAAAUUCCUUGUCGGGUAAGUUCCGACCUGCACGAAUGGCGUAACGAUGGCGGCGCUGUCUCCACCCGAGACUCAGUGAAAUUGAAAUCGCUGUGAAGAUGCAGUGUAUCCGCGGCUAGACGGAAAGACCCCGUGAACCUUUACUAUAGCUUUGCACUGGACUUUGAAUUUGCUUGUGUAGGAUAGGUGGGAGGCUUUGAAGUGGGGACGCCAGUUCUCAUGGAGCCAUCCUUGAAAUACCACCCUGGCAACUUUGAGGUUCUAACUCAGGUCCGUUAUCCGGAUCGAGGACAGUGUAUGGUGGGUAGUUUGACUGGGGCGGUCUCCUCCCAAAGAGUAACGGAGGAGUACGAAGGUGCGCUCAGACCGGUCGGAAAUCGGUCGUAGAGUAUAAAGGCAAAAGCGCGCUUGACUGCGAGACACACACGUCGAGCAGGUACGAAAGUAGGUCUUAGUGAUCCGGUGGUUCUGUAUGGAAGGGCCAUCGCUCAACGGAUAAAAGGUACUCCGGGGAUAACAGGCUGAUACCGCCCAAGAGUUCAUAUCGACGGCGGUGUUUGGCACCUCGAUGUC